GUGCUUGCUUCAGCAGCACAUAUACUAAAACACUGAAACAAUUCAGAGAAGAUUAGCACAGUCCGUAUGCAAGGAUGAUAUGCAAAUUUGUGAAGUGUUUGGCCACCUG